GAUGAACGCUGGCGGCGUGCCUAAUACAUGCAAGUCCAGCGAACAGACGAGGAGCUUGCUCCUCUGAUGUUAGCGGCGGACGGGUGAGUAACACGUGGAUAACCUACCUAUAAGACUGGGAUAACUUCGGGAAACCGGAGCUAAUACCGGAUAACAUGUUGAACCGCAUGGUUCAACAGUGAAAGACGGUCUUGCUGUCACUUAUAGAUGGAUCCGCGCCGCAUUAGCUAGUUGGUAAGGUAACGGCUUACCAAGGCAACGAUGCGUAGCCGACCUGAGAGGGUGAUCGGCCACACUGGAACUGAGACACGGUCCAGACUCCUACGGGAGGCAGCAGUAGGGAAUCUUCCGCAAUGGGCGAAAGCCUGACGGAGCAACGCCGCGUGAGUGAAGAAGGUCUUCGGAUCGUAAAACUCUGUUAUUAGGGAAGAACAAAUGUGUAAGUAACUAUGCACGUCUUGACGGUACCUAAUCAGAAAGCCACGGCUAACUACGUG
rnacentral:rRNA from 1 species